UCGGCUUAGAGUUUGAUCAUGGCUCAGAUUGAACGCUGGCGGCAGGCUUAACACAUGCAAGUCGAACGGUAUGAGUGCUUGCACUUGACGAGUGGCGGACGGGUGAGUAAUGUAUGGGGAUCUGCCGAAUGGAGGGGGACAACAGUUGGAAACGACUGCUAAUACCGCAUAAUGUCGCGAGACCAAAGCGUUUCGACGUACCAUUUGAUGAACCCAUAUGGGAUUAGCUAGUAGGUAGGGUAAAGGCCUACCUAGGCGACGAUCUCUAGCUGGUCUGAGAGGAUGACCAGCCACACUGGAACUGAGACACGGUCCAGACUCCUACGGGAGGCAGCAGUGGGGAAUAUUGCACAAUGGGGGAAACCCUGAUGCAGCCAUGCCGCGUGUAUGAAGAAGGCCUUAGGGUUGUAAAGUACUUUCGGUAAUGAGGAAGGUAACUAUUAAUAUGGUUAAUUGACGUUAAUUACAGAAGAAGCACCGGCUAACUCCGUGCCAGCAGCCGCGGUAAUACGGAGGGUGCGAGCGUUAAUCGGAAUGACUGGGCGUAAAGGGCAUGUAGGUGGAUGAUUAAGUUAGGUGUGAAAGCCCCGGGCUCAACCUGGGAAUUGCACUUAAAACUGGUCGUCUAGAGUAUUGUAGAGGAAGGUAGAAUUCCACGUGUAGCGGUGAAAUGCGUAGAGAUGUGGAGGAAUACCGGUGGCGAAAGCGGCCUUCUGGACAAUACUGACGCUGAGAUGCGAAAGCGUGGGGAGCAAACAGGAUUAGAU
rnacentral:rRNA from 1 species